rnacentral:rRNA from 1 species
UCCCUAUGGGGUGCAGCAGGCGCGAAACCUCCACAAUGCGCGAAAGCGUGAUGGGGUUAGCCCGAAUGCUAUCCGAAAAGGAUGGCUUUUCCUUGGUGUAAAAACCCAUGGGAAUAAAGGGGGGGCAAGACUGGUGUCAGCCGCCGCGGUAAUACCAGCUCCCUGAGUGGUAAGGACGAUUAUUUGGCUUAAAGCGUCCGUAGCCGGCUUAGUGAGUCUUUUGUUAAAUCCAAUGAUUUAAUCAUUGAACUGCAAGAGAUACUGCUAUGCUAGAGGACGGGAGAGGUCGACGGUAGUCCAGGGGUAGGGGUGAAAUCCUAUAAUCCUUGGAGGACCACCAGUGGCGAAGGCGGUCGACUAGAACGUGCCUGACGGUGAGGGACGAAAGCUGGGGGAGCGAACCGGAUUAGAUACCCGGGUAGUCCCAGCUGUAAACGAUGCGGGCUAGGUGUAGGGGCAGCUACGAGCUGCUCCUGUGCCGCAGAGAAAUUGUUAAGCCCGCCGCCUGGGGAGUACGAUCGCAAGAUUGAAACUUAAAGGAAUUGGCGGGGGAGCACCACAAGGGGUGAAGGCUGCGGUUUAAUUGGAUUCAACGCCGGAA